CCUACGGGAGGCAGCAGUGAGGAAUAUUGGUCAAUGGGGGAAACCCUGAAGCAGCAACGCCGCGUGGAGGAUGAAGGUUUUCGGAUUGUAAACUCCUUUUGUUAGAGAAGAUAAUGACGGUAUCUAACGAAUAAGCACCGGCUAACUCCGUGACAGCAGCCGCGGUAAUACGGAGGGUGCAAGCGUUACUCGGAAUCACUGGGCGUAAAGUGCGCGUAGGCGGGAUAGCAAGUCAGAUGUGAAAUCCUAUGGCUUAACCAUAGAACUGCAUUUGAAACUGGUAUUCUAGAGUAUGGGAGAGGUAAGUGGAAUUCUUGGUGUAGGGGUAAAAUCCGUAGAGAUCAAGAGGAAUACUCAUGGCGAAGGCGACCAGCUAGAACAUAACUGACGCUGAUGCGCGAAAGCGUGGGGAGCAAACAGGAUUAGAUACCCUAGUAGUC
rnacentral:rRNA from 1 species